GUGCUUGCUUCAGCAGCACAUAUACUGACAUUGAAAUAAUAUGGAGAUUAUUCACAUAGCCCAACUGCAUGAAUGACAUGUGAAGACAUGAAGCAUUCCAUAUUUUC
ensembl:snRNA U6 U6 spliceosomal RNA